rnacentral:snRNA from 1 species
GUGCUCGCUUUGGCAGCACAUAUUACUAAAACUGGAACGAUACAGAGAUUAGCAUGGUCCCUGUACAAGGAUGACAUGCAAAUUUGUGAAGCGUUCCAUAUUAAA